CCUACGGGAGGCAGCAGUGGGGAAUCUUGCGCAAUGGGCGAAAGCCUGACGCAGCAACGCCGCGUGCGGGAAGAAGGCCUUAGGGUUGUAAACCGCUUUCAGUAGGAACGAAAAUGACGGUACCUGCAGAAGAAGGUGCGGCCAACUACGUGCCAGCAGCCGCGGUGACACGUAGGCACCAAGCGUUGUCCGGAUUUAUUGGGCGUAAAGAGCUCGUAGGCGGUUCAGUAAGUCGGGUGUGAAAACUCUGGGCUUAACCCAGAGCCGCCACUCGAUACUGCUGUGACUUGAGUUCGGUAGGGGAGCAGGGAAUUCCUAGUGUAGCGGUGAAAUGCGCAGAUAUUAGGAGGAACACCGGUGGCGAAGGCGCUGCUCUGGGCCGAUACUGACGCUGAGGAGCGAAAGCGUGGGUAGCAAACAGGAUUAGAUACCCUGGUAGUCCACGCCGUAAACGUUGGGCACUAGGUNUGGGUUCCAACCAACGGAAUCCGCGCCGUCGCUAACGCAUAGUGCCGCCGUCGGAGGUACGGCGGCGACGACUAAACGUAAACGUAAGUAGACGGCGUGAGACGUCGCCGACGGACGACGACGAGGGAGUAGG
rnacentral:rRNA from 1 species